rnacentral:rRNA from 1 species
AACUCUCAACAACGGAUAUCUUGGCUCCCGUAACGAUGAAGAACGCAGCGAAAUGCGAUACGUAGUGUGAAUUGCACCGUGAACCAUCGAAUCUUUGAACGCAAAUUGCGCUUGAGGCUUCGGCCAAGAGCAUGUCUGGCUCAGCGUC